rnacentral:rRNA from 1 species
UACGUAGGGGGCGAGCGUUGUCCGGAUUUAUUGGGCGUAAAGAGCUCGUAGGCGGUUUGGUAAGUUGGAUGUGAAAUCUCCAGGCUCAACUUGGAGGGGUCAUUCGAUACUGCCAUGACUAGAGUUCGGUAGGGGAGUGUGGAAUUCCUGGUGGAGCGGUGAAAUGCGCAGAUAUCAGGAGGAACACCCGUGGCGAAGGCGGCACUCUGGGCCGGUACUGACGCUGAGGAGCGAAAGCGUGGGGAGCGAACAGG